UACGUAGGGGGCAAGCGUUGUUCGGAAUUACUGGGCGUAAAGGGCGCGUAGGCGGCACGGCAAGUCAGGAGUGAAAGGCCUGGGCUCAACCGAGGAACUGCUUUUGAGACUGCCGAGCUAGAGUGCAGAAGGGGCAACUGGAAUUCCCAGUGUAGCGGUGAAAUGCGUAGAUAUUGGGAAGAACACCUGAGGCGAAGGCGGGUUGCUGGGCUGACACUGACGCUGAGGCGCGAAAGUGUGGGGAGCGAACAGG
rnacentral:rRNA from 1 species